rnacentral:rRNA from 1 species
AAUUUUGGACAAUGGGGGAAACCCUGAUCCAGCAAUCCAUCGUGUAUGAUGAAGGCCUUCGGGUUGUAAAGUACUUUUGGCAGAGAAGUAAAGGUAUCACCUAAGACGGGAUACUGCUGACGGUAGCAGAUGAAUAAGCACCGGCUAACUCCGUGAUAGCAGCCGCGGUAAUAUGUAGGGUGCAAGCGUUAAUCGGAAGUACUGGGCGUAAAGCGUGUGUAGGCGGUUCAGAAAUAAAGAUGUGAAAUCCCAGGGCUCAACCUUGGAACUGCAUUUUUAACUGCCGAGCUAGAGUAUGUCAGAGGGGGGUAGAAUUCCACGUGUAGCAGUGAAAUGCGUAGAUAUGUGGAGGAAUACCGAUGGCGAAGGCAGCCCCCUGGGAUAAUACUGACGCUCAGACACGAAAGCGUGGGAAGCAAACAGG